AUCUGUUCUUAUCAGUUUAAUAUCUGAUACGUCCCCUACCCGGGGACCAUAUAUUAAAUUGAUUUUUGGAUCAGGGAGCCGGAACGGGGGCUUGCUCCUUCCACUCCACGCAUCGACCCGGUAUUGCAUUACCUCCAGGUACGGUGC
ensembl:snRNA U2 U2 spliceosomal RNA